rnacentral:rRNA from 1 species
CCUACGGGCGGCAGCAGUGAGGAAUAUUGGUCAAUGGACGAGAGUCUGAACCAGCCAAGUAGCGUGAAGGAUGACUGCCCUAUGGGUUGUAAACUUCUUUUAUAAAGGAAUAAAACGAGGCACGUGUGCCUUUUUGCAUGUACUUUAUGAAUAAGGAUCGGCUAACUCCGUGCCAGCAGCCGCGGUAAUACGGAGGAUCCGAGCGUUAUCCGGAUUUAUUGGGGUUAAAGGGAGCGUAGAUGGGUUGUUAAGUCAGUUGUGAAAGUUUGCGGCUCAACCGUAAAAUUGCAAUUGAUACUGGCAGUCGUGAGUACAGUUGAGGUAGGCGGAAUUCGUGGUGUAGCGGUGAAAUGCUUAGAUAUCACGAAGAACCCCGAUUGCGAAGGCAGCUUACUAAACUGUGACUGACAUUGAUGAUCGAAAGUGUGGGUAUCAAACAGGAUUAGAUACCCUGGUAGUC